UGCAGGUUUCCUGAGCCUGAUUUUGCCUUGCAUUGAAUCCUGCCUGGAUAAACUGUCUUCUGGAAGGAAGCAAUCCAGUUCCAUGAACAAAGACUCAAGUCUCUCAUGACUUCGUUGGAUCACGCCGGCUGGCAGCCUCCUGAUUCCUGCGUACCUCGGACCUCCAUCUGCAAACCCUGUCCACUCUCCUCCCUCCAUCACACCUCGUGGAUUACAAACUCUCCUGGCUUACCAUAUCCACCAACUUCAGUCUCACCGGCAAACAACCACUUGGUUUCUCCACUCCCCCUCUGGCAGAUCCCUUCACCAUUCUUUGUUGAAAACCUUUGGUCGGCUCCCAUGCCAAGCCAGCUUCGAUCAAGCAAGCUCUGUGUUAGAUCCACCUGACAAUCCUUCCGCAGUUGCUCUCUGCAGCCUUGCACUCUCAGCAACCACCUGCCUGCAUGCUCUCCAACCAAACACCUCUCAGCCUCAGAUCCUUCUGUCUCCUCCAUAUUGGAUAACACUCUUGCAACCCAACCAUCCUUCACUCUCAGAAAUCUCUCCAGGACGUUGAGGCCCCUCCAUAAGUUAAACCACAACAUCUACACAACACCAAAGAAGCUGUAAGCUCGAGACUCCAGUUCCCUUCUCAGUAUUACCCCAUUCUUUGUAAAUAAACCUCUUACUUGAUUGUUACCCCAUUUGGUGUGUGAUUUCUGCAUGUGGGUCAGGAAGCUUCCUAGAGUCAUAAUAGUUUGGGUCAUUUUUUUUCAAUCCGUUCAGUUUUCCCUAUUCUCUGUUACAUUUGUUUGAACUGUUACGUCACAGUAUUUACCACAUAAUUUCUACAUAAGGUCAUGGAC